ncrna:Anolis carolinensis (green anole) microRNA aca-mir-24 precursor (aca-mir-24-1)
GCCUUCCGUGCCUACUGAGCUGAUACUCAGUUGCUUUAGAUAAACUGGCUCAGUUCAGCAGGAACAGGAGUC